CCCAUAGCUCAGUUGGUUAGAGCAUCCGACUCAUAAUCGGCAGGUCGAAAGUUCAAAUCUUUCUGGGCC
rnacentral:tRNA from 1 species